rnacentral:misc_RNA from 1 species
UUCUUUUUUUUUUUUUUUAAUUAAAGCUCUAUGUGUCUUGAGAACAGUACCGGUAUUCUUUCGCAUGGCUUCUUUUGACGUGUUUUUCGUUUUUAACACUCCAAGACAAUUUGGCAUAGAGGUGUGUAUUUUGGCAUCUUGCUUGCUUUUGUGUGUGGAAUUUUGAAAUCAUUAAUUUUGAAUCAACAUUAGGAGCCAGUUUAUCUAAGCCUUGUUACGCAAUUUUUAUAUGUAAACAGCUUUAGCUCCGUUUUUUCUUGUGUGCACUACAUCGAGUCAAAGUGAUAAAAUGCUCAUUGAAGUCCUGUUGGUAACGCUGCUUACAUGCAUUUAGUAUAUGCAUGAUGCAUUGUGAGUUGGUGAUAAAUGCUAGUUGAAAACACAUUGUAGAUAAAUAAAAGCCGAGGACACGAAACUUCAAGGCAUAGAAGUUAUGGAUUUUUUGUUUGGCAGAGUUUGUGUCAGAAGCAAGUGACUGCAUAAGUUUGCUUCUUUCAUUUGUCACUUAAUGGGAUUUUAUUUUUAUGAAUAAUCAAAGAUGAGAUUACAAGUUCAAAUUCUAUAUAUUAUCAAAUCAAGUUCCACUUGGAUGAUUUCUUGACCAAGAUGUCCUCUGAUCAGUACUAGGCCUAAAUUAUAAAAUUUUCCUCUUCUACAGAGCAAGGAACCAAUUUUAAGUUAAAUGCAAGCAGCUAAAGCAUUAACUGCUAAAUUAACUUUGUUAUGUGGACUUUCCAGGUCGGAUUGUGUUUUUGGGAAAAGGUGGUGAUGACCAGCAAGAAGGUGCAAAAGAAUUGAGAAGUGUUGGCUAUUUCUAGGAGCAUAACUUGAAAAGAUUCGGGUAUUUGUCUAACAGUUGAGCAAUUUUCACAUUUGUAAUUAUGUUUGAAUUUGCUUCAAGCUAGUAGACUGUAGCAUUAGUAACAAUGGAGGCAGGUAUUCCUUGUGGUGAUUUGUUUUUGCAUGUCCAUGUCAUUCAACAUGAUUUGUUUAUGGACGAAAAAUUAACUUUGAUUUGCUAUUUGCCUAUUGAAGUUCAACUCGUAGGAAAUUGUGACUUGUGAGCUUAAUGGUGGUGGCACUUUUCAAGAUUUGGUAGCCUGUUUUGGACAGGAUAGAGGAGUUUGCUAUUUAAUAAUAAUUGCAUGUUGUAACCAGAGGAACGUUGCAAAUGCUUACAGCAAUAGCCCAUUGUCGAUCACA